AUACGUAGGUGACAAGCGUUAUCCGGAUUUACUGGGCGUAAAGGGCGUGUAGGCGGUCUUGCAAGUCAGAAGUGAAAUUCCUGAGCUCAACUCGGGCGCUGCUUCUGAAACUGCAGGACUUGAGUGCUGGAGGGGAUAGCGGAAUUCCUAGUGGAGCGGUAAAAUGCGCAGAUAUUAGGAAGAACACCGGUGGCGAAGGCGGUUAUUUGGACAGUAACUGACGCUGAGGGGCGAAAGCGGGGGGAGAAAACAGGAUUAGAUACCCUGGUAGACCACGCCGUAAACGAUGAAUACUAGGUGUAGGGGGUAUCGACUCCCUCUGUGCCGCAGUUAACACAAUAAGUAUGCCGCCUGGGGAGUACGGCCGCAAGGUUGAAACUCAAAUGAAUUGACGGGG
rnacentral:rRNA from 1 species